AUGAACGCUGGCGGCGUGCUUAACACAUGCAAGUCGAACGAUUAAAGCUCACUUCGGUGAGUGUAUAGAGUGGCGAACGGGUGAGUAACACGUGGGAAACCUGCCCCUUUCUUCGGGAUAACUUCGGGAAACCGUUGCUAAUACCGGAUACUCCGGGAUGGUCGCAUGGCCGGCCCGGGAAAGCUUUAUGUGGAAAGGGAUGGUCCCGCGGCCCAUUAGCUUGUUGGUGGGGUAAUGGCCUACCAAGGCGAUGAUGGGUAGCCG
rnacentral:rRNA from 1 species